GACGAAGGAUGCAAGCGUUAUCCGGAUUCAUUGGGUUUAGAGGGUGCGUAGGCGGACUGAUAAGUCAGUGGUGAAAUCUCUUUGCUUAACAAAGAAACUGCCAUUGAUACUGUCGGUCUAGAGUAUAGAUGACGUUGGCGGAAUAUGACAUGUAGUGGUGAAAUACUUAGAUAUGUCAUAGAACACCGAUUGCGAAGGCAGCUAACGAAACUAUAACUGACGCUGAGGCACGAAAGUGCGGGGAUCAAACAGG
rnacentral:rRNA from 1 species